CCCUUAGAUGUUCUGGGCCGCACGCGCGCUACACUGAUGCAUUCAACGAGCCUAUCCUUGACCGACAGGUCCGGGUAAUCUUUGAAUCUGCAUCGUGACGGGGAUAGAUUAUUGCAAUUAUUAAUCUUCAACGAGGAAUGCCUAGUAGUCGCAAGUCAUCAGCUUGCGUCGAUUACGUCCCUGCCCUUUGUACACACCGCCCGUCGCUCCUACCGAUUGGGUGUGCUGGUGAAAUGUUCGGAUCGGCCGUUUGUCGCGGUUUCCGCGGCUCGUGGCUGAGAAGUUCAUUAAACCCUCCCACCUAGAGGAAGGAGAAGUCGUAACA
rnacentral:rRNA from 1 species